rnacentral:rRNA from 1 species
GCCCACACGACCGUACCGCAAACCGACACUGGUGCGCGAGAUGAGUAUUCUAAGGCGCUUGAGAGAACUCAGGAGAAGGAACUCGGCAAAUUGACACCGUAACUUCGGAAGAAGGUGUGCCUUUAGUAGGUGAAGGGAUUUACUCCUGGAGCCCAAUGAGGUUGCAAAAAAUCGGUGGCUGCGACUGUUUAAUAAAAACACAGCACUCUGCAAACACGAAAGUGGACGUAUAGGGUGUGACGCCUGCCCGGUGCUGGAAGAUUAAAUGAUGGGGUGCAAGCUCUUGAUUGAAGUCCCAGUAAACGGCGGCCGUAACAAUAACGGUCCUAAGGUAGCGAAAUUCCUUGUCGGGUAAGUUCCGACCUGCACGAAUGGCGUAACGAUGGCCACACUGUCUCCUCCUGAGACUCAGCGAAGUUGAAAUGUUUGUGAUGAUGCAAUCUCCCCGCGGAAAGACGGAAAGACCCCAUGAACCUUUACUGUAGCUUUGUAUUGGACUUUGAACAGAUCUGUGUAGGAUAGGUGGGAGGCUUUGAAGUAGGGUCGCUAGAUCUUAUGGAGCCAACGUUGAAAUACCACCCUGGUGUGUUUGAGGUUCUAACCUAGGCCCGUUAUCCGGGCUGGGGACAGUGCAUGGUAGGCAGUUUGACUGGGGCGGUCUCCUCCCAAAGCGUAACGGAGGAGUUCGAAGGUACGCUAGUUACGGUCGGACAUCGUGACGAUAGUGCAAUGGCAUAAGCGUGCUUAACUGCGAGACUGACAAGUCGAGCAGAUGCGAAAGCAGGACAUAGUGAUCCGGUGGUUCUGUAUGGAAGGGCCAUCGCUCAACGGAUAAAAGGUACUCUGGGGAUAACAGGCUGAUACCGCCCAAGAGUUCAUAUCGACGGCGGUGUUUGGCACCUCGAUGUCGGCUCAUCUCAUCCUGGGGCUGUAGCCGGUCCCAAGGGUAUGGCUGUUCGCCAUUUAAAGAGGUACGUGAGCUGGGUUUAAAACGUCGUGAGACAGUUUGGUCCCUAUCUUCCGUGGGCGCUGCAGAUUUGAGGAAGCCUGCUCCUGGUACGAGAGGACCGGAGUGGACACACCUCUGGUGUAUCGGUUGUCACGCCAGUGGCAUUGCCGAGUAGCUAAGUGUGGAAGAGAUAACCGCUGAAAGCAUCUAAGCGGGAAACUCGUUUCAAGAUGAGAUCUGCCGGGGCCUUGAGCCCCCUAAAGAGUCGUUCAAGACCAGGACGUUGAUAGGUCAGGUGUGGAAGCGCAGUAAUGCGUUAAGCUAACUGAUACUAAUUGCUCGUGCGGCUUGAUC